rnacentral:misc_RNA from 1 species
GUAGGUGAACCUGCGGAAGGAUCAUUAACACGUUUCCAAACGUUAACAACAACUUCGUGAACUUGUAACCUCCCUCUUCGACCAGAUGCGUGUACCGCCAAAGAAGCCCAGUUUGUGGACAAACGAUCGGAAAAAUUAGCUAUUCAUUUAGCUAUUGAGUAUCCUCGGGGCUGCGGACACUGGAAUGCCGUUGAGCAAUCACAUCAGGUAGUUGUAGGCCAAUUUUUAACUUUCCACUUUUAACCCCUUU